CUGCUCUUCACACGGAUACCACGAAUGCCACGGUGGCCUCCUGAAGACGGAGUCUGGUCUCACAUUCCUCCAGCUUCCUAUGCAUAAACCCCAGCGAAGGGUGAGCGCACGGCAUGGCACCUGCAGCAUGGGGUUCACGUUCUGGAAGGUUCUGGCUGACUCCCACCCCGCCCUUCACUGGCCAAGUAAACUUGCAGAAGUUACUUAACCCUUGACCUAGAAGAGCCUCCUGUCACCUGAAAAGGGAAAGUCGGGAUUGUAAGGAAAGGAAUCUCAUAGGGCUUCUCUGAGGAGACAAAUCAUUGGAUUGGGCUUAGACGUUCCAUCCGUGGCAAGAUUUCCGGCUUUGCCCUUUGGAGCCUGAGGAGCAAGGGUAGAAUGAGGAUCGUGAGGUUCUUCAGAGGCAGUUACUCACGAGGUCACAGCGCAGAAACGGCAAGAAAUGUGUCAGGACAACUAUGGAUGUGAAGGAUGGGAGAGGGGCCUCCUUCCGCAUGAGGUCCCCAGAGGAGAGGGGUUCAUCCUUCUCCAUCUAGGACUUGAGGGACAUCCUUCUCCAUCCAGGACUGAGAGGCAUCCUUCUCCUUGCAGUACCUGAGGGACAUCCUUCUCCAUUCAGGACCUGAGGAUGUCCUUCUCUGUACUCCCUUGGGACUGCACCCUUUCCUGUGCCAUCCUUCAGAAUGCUAGGCUGUCGCUGGUUGUGGAUUGAACUCUAGCAUCUUAUCUCUAUUCUAGGUGAAUCCCUUCACAUUUAUAGUGAUUUACCAUUUAAUCACUGUGCCAUUUUCCCCAAAAUAUGUGGGGUUUGGGGUUUGGUUUUUGUUCUUACUUCUAUUAAUUCUUCGGUUCCCACCUCCAGUUGUUUUGUAAUUUCUUUUACAACCUAAUAUGGUCCCAUUUGGUAAGUAUUACCAUGUACUAGAAAAUAAUGUAUAUUCAGUAUUUGUUGUGAUUUUUAAACCUUUAAUAAACUCAUAAGAUUUUUGUCUAUUUUCCAUUUAAAUUGAGAAGUACGAUCCCAAUGUUCCUCUCUCGAUCUGCUCCCGUUAGUCUCCAUGUGUGUCCUGGAGGUGAGGUCAGCAUUGGACUUAACCCUGUGUCACCUCCUUGGUUCUACUGCUCACCUGUGGCAUCCAUCCUGCUGUUUAUUAUUUUUUCCUUAAAUUGUAUUUGAACUAUUAAUUUUGCUACAGCAACUUGCUUUCUGUGAAUAUUUACUCAGUAGUUUCAUUUCCAUUCUUUUUUGCCCUUAAUUUGAAAGUGCUGCUUUGCUAUUGAUAAUUUUGUAUUUUAAUAUGUGAGGUUAAUUCCUCUGUGUUUGGUAGGAAAAAGUGAUACAUUUGAACUUAUUUCUAUUAUGUGAUUUUGGAUUUUGGAUUUGCAAAACUUUAUCCUUGAUUCUCUUUUCCUUUCUCCAGACUUAUUUUCAACUGACAUUUCCUUUUCCAUUUCCUUCUUAUGCUGAUUUGUAGGUUUUCCAGCCUAUUUACCGUUCUUUAGUGUCCUACAUUUUAAAAUAAUUCUUAAAUUAUCGACUAAUAAUUUUAAGCAUAUUGGAUUUGCGGUUUUCUCCCAGUGCUCUAGUUAUAAUCUCUUCUAUCUUGUCAUUUUAUUCUUGUUAUUUUUCUAUUAAUUCUUGAGAUAUAGGUAUUAGAAUUGUCAAAUUGUGAAUUUAAGCAUUUACCCUUUAAAUUUGGUUAUUUUUGCUUCAUAUAUUUUGUUAUUUUGUAUCAGGUGCAUGCAUGCUUAUGAUCAUUAGGUUUUCUAAGCAAGUGGACUCAUUAAUAUAAAAUGUCCUUCUCUGUCCCUGGCGAUGCUGGUCCUUCCUGUCGUCUGUCUCAUCUGCCAUCCAUACACCUGUGCAGCCUCCUGAUAACAAGUAUUUCUGUGGUAUACAUUUGUCCAUCUUUUCAGCUUGAAUCUAUUUGUAUCUUUAUCUUGAAAGAAUGUUUCUUUGUAAAAGCAUAUCGAGGCUUGCUUUU
rnacentral:lncRNA from 1 species